rnacentral:rRNA from 1 species
GAUCAAGUGUCUUAAGGGCAAUUGGUGGAUGCCUUGGCAUGCACAGGCGAUGAAGGACGUGAUACGCUGCGAUAAGCUACGGGGAGGUGCGAAUACCCUUUGAUCCGUAGAUUUCCGAAUGGGGAAACCCACCUAAGGUGCUUGGAAAAUCAGAGUAGCAGGGCAACCUGCUGCUGUGGUUUCCAAGUAUCUGUUAUAGGUAACUUACCCUGAAUAAAAUAGGGGUAAAGUGGCGAACGCGGGGAACUGAAACAUCUAAGUACCCGUAGGAAAGGACAUCAACCGAGACUCCGGCAGUAGUGGCGAGCGAACCCGGACCAGGCCAGUGGCGAUGAUGAGACAAGCGGAACCUUCUGGAAAGUAGGGCCAUAGUGGGUGACAGCCCCGUACGCGUAAUGCAAAUCAUCGUCCUCGAGUAAGGCGGGACACGUGAAAUCCUGUCUGAAAUUGGGGGGACCACCCUCCAAGCCUAAGUACUCGUGCAUGACCGAUAGCGAACUAGUACCGUGAGGGAAAGGUGAAAAGCACCCCGACAAGGGGAGUGAAAGAGUACCUGAAACCGAUUGCCUACAAACAGUGGGAGUCCAAGGUUCGUCCUGGGUGACCACGUACCUUUUGUAUAAUGGGUCAGCGACUUAGUGUGACGAGCAAGCUUAAACCGCUAGGUGUAGGCGCAGCGAAAGCGAGUCUGAACAGGGCGUUCAGUUCGUCGCAUUAGACCCGAAACCGAGUGAUCUAGCCAUGAGCAGGUUGAAGGUAAGGUAACACUUACUGGAGGACCGAACCCAUAACUGUUGCAAUAGUUCGGGAUGACUUGUGGCUAGGGGUGAAAGGCCAAUCAAACUCGGAAAUAGCUGGUUCUCCGCGAAAUCUAUUUAGGUAGAGCGUCGACCGAAUACCCCAGGGGGUAGAGCACUGGAUGGGCUAGGGGUCCUCACCGGAUUACCAAACCUAACCAAACUCCGAAUACCUGGGAGUACUAGUCGGCAGACACACGGCGGGUGCUAACGUCCGUCGUGAAAAGGGAAACAACCCUGACCUACAGCUAAGGUCCCCAAGUUAUGGCUAAGUGGGAAAGGAUGUGAGGAUCCCAAAACAACCAGGAUGUUGGCUUAGAAGCAGCCAUCAUUUAAAGAAAGCGUAACAGCUCACUGGUCUAAAUAAGGGUCUUUGCGCCGAAAAUGUAACGGGGCUCAAGCCAUACACCGAAGCUUAGGGUUUGCAGCAAUGCAAGCGGUAGCGGAGCGUUCUGUAAGCUGAUGAAGCCAUACCCGUGAGGGGUGGUGGAGGUAUCAGAAGUGCGAAUGCUGACAUGAGUAACGUAAGGGGAGUGAGAGACUCCCCCGCCGAAAGUCCAAGGGUUCCUGCUUAAAGCUAAUCUGAGCAGGGUUAGCCGGCCCCUAAGUCGAGGCAGAAAUGCGUAGACGAUGGGAACCACGUUAAUAUUCGUGGGCCUGGAGGAAGUGACGGAUCAUUGAGGUAGUCCAAUCUUAUCGGAUUGAAAGGGCUGCUGCGUGGUUCCAGGAAAUAGCUCCUCCUUAUAGACCGUACCCGAAACCGACACUGGUGGACUGGUAGAGUAUACCAAGGCGCUUGAGAGAACUAUGCUGAAGGAACUCGGCAAAUUGCACGCGUAACUUCGGAAGAAGCGUGACCCUUUUCCACGCAAGUGGAGGAGGGUGGCACAGACCAGGGGGUAGCGACUGUUUAUCAAAAACACAGGGCUCUGCGAAGUCGCAAGACGACGUAUAGGGUCUGACGCCUGCCCGGUGCUGGAAGGUUAAGAGGAGGGGUGCAAGCUCUGAAUCGAAGCCCCAGUAAACGGCGGCCGUAACUAUAACGGUCCUAAGGUAGCGAAAUUCCUUGUCGGGUAAGUUCCGACCUGCACGAAUGGCGUAACGACUUCCCCGCUGUCUCCAGCAUAGACUCAGUGAAAUUGAAUUCCCCGUGAAGAUGCGGGGUUCCUGCGGUUAGACGGAAAGACCCCGUGCACCUUUACUAUAGCUUUACAUUGGCAUUCGUAGUGGCAUGUGUAGGAUAGGUGGUAGGCUUUGAAACCUGGGCGCCAGCUCAGGUGGAGCCACCCUUGAAAUACCACCCUUAUCACUAUGGAUGUCUAACCGCGGCCCGUUAUCCGGGUCCGGGACAAUGUAUGGUGGGUAGUUUGACUGGGGCGGUCGCCUCCUAAAGAGUAACGGAGGCGCGCGAUGGUGGGCUCAGAACGGUCGGAAAUCGUUCGCUGAGUGCAAUGGCAUAAGCCUGCCUGACUGCGAGACUGACAAGUCGAGCAGAGACGAAAGUCGGUCAUAGUGAUCCGGUGGUCCCGCGUGGAAGGGCCAUCGCUCAACGGAUAAAAGGUACGCCGGGGAUAACAGGCUGAUGACCCCCAAGAGUCCAUAUCGACGGGGUUGUUUGGCACCUCGAUGUCGACUCAUCGCAUCCUGGGGCUGGAGCAGGUCCCAAGGGUAUGGCUGUUCGCCAUUUAAAGCGGUACGUGAGUUGGGUUCAGAACGUCGUGAGACAGUUCGGUCCCUAUCUGCCGUGGGUGUAGGAAUAUUGAAAGGAUCUGUCCCUAGUACGAGAGGACCGGGAUGGACGGAUCUCUGGUGGACCUGUUGUGGCGCCAGCCGCAUAGCAGGGUAGCUAUAUCCGGACGGGAUAACCGCUGAAGGCAUCUAAGCGGGAAACCCACCUUAAAACGAGUAUUCCCUGAGAACCGUGGAAGACGACCACGUUGAUAGGCCGGGUGUGGAAGAGCGGCAACGCUUGAAGCUUACCGGUACUAAUAGUUCGAUCGGCUUGAUCGUUCUCAUU